rnacentral:ncRNA from 1 species
UUGGUGCCUGGGGUGUUAGGCCUUGGGUGAAAAGGGAACCGGGUGGGAAUCCCGGACAGACGGUGCUGCUGUGUGCCCCCUGUAGAAUGAUCCCUCACUUGUCCACUGGGCAUAGCUUCCAUGAUUGGGAGUUGCUUGGGAAGGGCAAGUGCUGAACAGGGUAGGGGCGAGUCAGAAGACCUGCCAAAUCGUU